CUAAGUGGCGGACGGGUGAGUAAUGUAUAGUUAAUCUGCCCUUUAGAGGGGGAUAACAGUUGGAAACGCUGCUAAUACCCCAUACUCCUUUUAUCUUAAUGGUAAUUGGGAAACGUUUUUUCGCUAAAGGAUGAGACUAUAUGGUAUCAGGUAGUUGGUGGGGUAAGAGCCUACCAAGCCAAUGACGCCUAGCUGGUCUGAGAGGAUGAUCAGCCACACUGGAACUGAGACACGGUCCAG
rnacentral:rRNA from 1 species